rnacentral:rRNA from 1 species
UAUCUCUGUAGAGUCUGCAUAUCAAUAAGCGGAGGAAAAGAAACUAACUAGGAUUCCCUCAGUAACGGCGAGUGAAGCGGGAAGAGCUCAAAUUUGAAAUCUUCAAGGUUCUACCUUGACGAAUUGUAGUUUAAAGAAGUGUUUUCUGUUGAAGUUUUGGUAAAAGUUCUUUGGAAUAGGACAUCAUAGAGGGUGAGAAUCCCGUAUUUGACCAUUAUUUCCAGCUUUGUGAUACACUUUCAAAGAGUCGGAUUGUUUGGGAAUGCAGUCCAAAAUGGGUGGUAAAUUUCAUCUAAAGCUAAAUAUUGGCGAGAGACCGAUAGCGAACAAGUACCGUGAGGGAAAGAUGAAAAGAACUUUGAAAAGAGAGUUAAACAGUACGUGAAAUUGUCAAAAGGGAAGCGUUUGACACCAGUGUUGUUUUCUCGAAAAUCAAUUAAAAAAAGUUGGAUUUUGUAUUGUUAAGACCUUAUCAGCUUACUGUACUCUUUUCUUGCUUUUUUUAAUGCACUUUUCGUUUAACAAGUCAACAUCAAUUUCUUUUGUUGUAAAAGAGUCAUUGGAAGGUGGCUUUCACUUCGGUGAAAGUGUUUAUAGCCUUUGGCUUCUGCAAUCGGAGAGAUUGAGGUCUGCAGCGUAGAUCCUUCGGGGCUAGAUACGUAGAUGCUAAGUUAUAGUUUUUUAUAGACAACUUGUUGACUAUAAUUAAUCAUGUAGCUUACUCGUUUGCGCUAUUUUACCUACGCUUAGGAUGUU